GAUGAACGCUAGCUACAGGCUUAACACAUGCAAGUCGAGGGGAAACGAUAUUGGAAGCUUGCUUCCGAUAGGCGUCGACCGGCGCACGGGUGAGUAACGCGUAUCCAACCUGCCCAUCACUUGGGAAUAACCUUGCGAAAGUAAGACUAAGUGCCCAAUGACAUUUAUAGAAGGCAUCUGAAAUGAAUUAAAGAUUUAUCGGUGAUGGAUGGGGAUGCGUCUGAUUAGCUUGUUGGCGGGUAAUGGCCCACCAAGGCAACGAUCAGUAGGGGUUCUGAGAGGAAGGUCCCCCACAUUGGAACUGGAGACACGGUCCAAACGUCCUACGGGAGGCAGCAGUGAGGAAUAUUGGUCAAUGGGCGAGGAGCCUGAACCAGCCAAGUAGCGUGCAGGAUGACGGCCCGUAGUGGGUU
rnacentral:rRNA from 1 species